AUUAUGUUUGGCAGGGCAGCGGCGGGGAAACUCGUCGCAGCUCAGCGAACAUAAAUAAACGAAUAAUAUUUAUGGCAGUGAUUAAUUUUGUUGUCAUUGGAUCUCUUCGGAGGCCGGUCUUGCGUCGAAUGGCGUAAGGGGGAUAUUAUUCUUUUUACUGUGAAUAAAUCAGAAAGCUCAAAUUAAGUUUUAGAACUUUUGAAUGUAUUAGCAUGGUAUAAUGGAAUAAGAUUUUUGGAAUUAUUUUUGUUGGUGAUAAUUUUUUGAAAAUAAUGAUUAAUAGAGAUAGUUGGGGACAUUUGUAUUGGAUAGCUAGAGGUGAAAUUCUCGGAUUUAUUUAAGACAAACUAAUGCGAAAGCUUUUGACAAGGAUAUUCUCAUUAAUCAAGAACGAAAGUUAAGGGAUCGAAGAUGAUUAGAUACCGUCGUAGUCUUAACCAUAAACUAUGCCGACUAGGGAUAUUCUUGCUUUGCAUUUUGUAUGAAGCGAGGGUGAACCUUGUGAGAAAUCAUAAGUCUUUGGGUUCUGGGGGGAGUAUGGUCGCAAGAGUGAAACUUAAAGGAAUUGACGGAGGGGCACCACAAGGAAUGGAUUCUGCGGCUCAAUUUGACCCAACACGGGAAAACUUACCAGGGCCGGACACAUGAAGGAUUGACAGAUUGAGAGUUCUUUCAUGAUUAUGUGGAUGGUGGUGCAUGGCCGUUCUUAGUUCGUGGUUUGAGUUGGCUGGUUAAUUCCGAUAACGAACGAGAUUUUAAUUUUUAAAUAGUUUUCACGCUCGCAAGAGAGUGAUAGACUUCUUAGAAAGACUUGAAACAAAAAGUUUUAGGAAGCGUAAAGUUAAAACAGGUCUGUGAUGCCCUUAGAUGUUCUGGACUGCACGCGUAAUACAAUGAUUGCAUCAACGAGUUUCACUGUCGCUUUCGGGUGGCAUCAUCUGCACUGAGAGGUGUGGAUAAUCUUUUGAAAUGCAAUCAAAUUGGGGAUUAAAGAUUGUAAUUAUUUUUUAUGAACGAGGAAUUCCUAGUAAUUUUGAUUCAUCAAAUCAAGAUGAAUGCGUCCCUGCCCCUUGUACACACCGCCCGUCGCUGCAUCUGAUUGGAUUAUUAAAUGAAAUGAUUGGAUUGGUUUUUUGCAAAGAUGAGAUGUUCAGUAAAUUUAAUAUUCUAGAGGAAGCAAAAGUCGUAACAAGGUU
rnacentral:rRNA from 1 species